rnacentral:rRNA from 1 species
AGUGAACGCUGGCGGUAGGCCUAACACAUGCAAGUCGAACGGCAGCACAGUAAGAGCUUGCUCUUACGGGUGGCGAGUGGCGGACGGGUGAGGAAUACAUCGGAAUCUACUUUUUCGUGGGGGAUAACGUAGGGAAACUUACGCUAAUACCGCAUACGACCUACGGGUGAAAGCAUGGGAUCUUCGGACCUUGCGCGAUUGAAUGAGCCGAUGUCGGAUUAGCUAGUUGGCGGGGUAAAGGCCCACCAAGGCGACGAUCCGUAGCUGGUCUGAGAGGAUGAUCAGCCACACUGGAACUGAGACACGGUCCAGACUCCUACGGGAGGCAGCAGUGGGGAAUAUUGGACAAUGGGCGCAAGCCUGAUCCAGCCAUACCGCGUGGGUGAAGAAGGCCUUCGGGUUGUAAAGCCCUUUUGUUGGGAAAGAAAAGCAGCAGGUUAAUACCUCGCUGUUCUGACGGUACCCAAAGAAUAAGCACCGGCUAACUUCGUG